CUUGACGGAGCCCAGCCACAGGGGCCGGCCGUCGGGCCGCUCCUGGCCGUAGGCCGCGAGCAGGGCCUGCGCCUC
rnacentral:antisense_RNA from 1 species